GCUGCCAUCUCAUCCCAAUGACCCCAACAUUAGUGACUCCGUAUUCAAGCAAUUCGAAUCACUUGACAUCAUAUAGAGAAAUUGCCAGAACUGCCAUCU